GGGCGUUUGGCACAGUGGUAGCGCGCACGCUUUGCAUUCGGCAAUACUCCUGCGUGAGGUCGAGGGUUCAAACCCCUCAACGUCCA
rfam:Fomitopsis pinicola FP-58527 SS1 unplaced genomic scaffold FOMPIscaffold_68, whole genome shotgun sequence.